rnacentral:rRNA from 1 species
CGGCGAACGGGUGAGUAUCACGUGAGUAACCUGCCCCGAAGACCGGGAUAGCCCGGGGAAACCCGGAUUAAUACCGGAUACCCUCUGUGGAUCGCAUGGUCCGUUGAGGAAAUGUUUUUGUGCUUCGGGAUGGACUCGCGGCCUAUCAGCUUGUUGGUGAGGUAACGGCUCACCAAGGCAACGACGGGUAGCUGGUCUGAGAGGACGAUCAGCCACACUGGGACUGAGACACGGCCCAG